rnacentral:lncRNA from 1 species
GCGAAGGAUCCAUCUUCAUUAACACUAAAGAUGUGCUAUUCUGUGCUGCUACUAGUUUUUUACCUGCAGCUAAUAAGAGUAAUUACCAAAAAAUUGUAAUUUUGAAGCCUUUUAUGUGAAUGAUCUGUCCUGGUUGCAUAAAAAUCAUUAGAGGGAAAGAUCCAUCUUCAUUAACACUAUCUGUCCUGUUUGCAUAAAGAUCACCAGAGCGAAGGAUCCAUCUUCAUUAACACUAAAGAUGUGCUAUUCUGUGCUGCUACUAGUUUUUUUACCUGCAGCUAAUAAGAGUAAUUACCAAAAAAUUGCAGUUUUGAAGCCUUUUAUGUGAAUGAUCUGUCCUAUUUGCAUAAAGAUCACCAGAGCGAAGGAUCCAUCUUCAUUAACACUAAAGAUGUGCUAUUCUGUGCUGCUACAAAUUUACCCUGUGUUUUAUAAUAGUAAUUGCUGAAAAAUUGCAAGUCAUAUCCGAAGAUAUUGGCCUUUCACAAGUUUUGUUCAUCCCGAUACAUUAGUUCCAUGUGAUUUCGUGUAUUAUUAGUUUGUGCAUAUUGAAGUGUUCUUGGUUUUAAGGCUAAAGAUGUAGUUCUGGAACUUGGAAUCUGACAGUUAUUUUGAUAUUUUGGCUGUAAGAUGUCUUUUUAAACCAAUAGGUAUAGAUAGAUUUGUUCUUAAGGUUGUGACUAGCUUUGUCAAAAGCCUGCCAUCCUUGUGAUAUUUUCUUGAUAAUUAAGUUUAUUUCUAAGGCCAGAAGUGUCUUCAUGCAAUGGUUCGUCAUUCCCACACUGGAAGAAACUGCUUGGCCUCGGAGGCAGUCCGCACAUUAUUUGGAAAUUGUAUUGUUUUAAUAGUAUGUAAUACAUAAACUCCUAUAACAUUUUAUUUGAAUAAAUUUGAUUAGAUAUUUGUAAAUCAUUUGCCAUAUUUUUAGAUGUAAUAUUACAUAUAAAUCAUUGCAUUGAUAGAGUAUGAACAAAGUGCUUUUAGAAAGAACUUUGCAUGCAUAAAAUUAAACUGAAUUUCAAUUAUUGUAAAUGUCAUGUAUUUGGAUUAUCCCUGUAGUGUCCUUAUUUUUGAAAUGGCAAGAUUGGAAGUUGGCAUUCUGUGAAUUAUCCUGCUAUGAAGAGUUGGUGCUUUACUUGAUAAACUGCAGUAGGCUUGAAUAUCUAAACUUAUUGAUAGCCAAGGGACCCAUAAUAUCGACCCCUUACUCUUAUGCUGGCUAAUGGGACACUUCUCUGAACACCUUAUAGCAUUAUGUUGAAAUGUGGUAGCAUGGAAGGAAUGUUUAGAAACUAAAAUGUCUGCAUGUUUAAAUACAUUUCCAGACUGAUGUUGACUAUCAAACAAAUGUAUUGAAAAAUUAAUAAAAACAGUUCUUGUAUUUA